rnacentral:tRNA from 1 species
UGGGGCGUGGCUCAGUUUGGUUAGAGCGCUAGUUUUGGAUACUAGAGGUCCAGGGUUCGAAUCCCUGCGCUCCAA